rnacentral:lncRNA from 1 species
CUACAGGCACACCGGGUGCAGCAAACACACCCCACUGACGUUGCAAUGGUGCAAAACCCAAAGGGCCGAUGCAACAAACCCACCCCACUGUCUUUGCAAUGGUGCAACACCCAAAGGAACGACCCACAGGUGUCCUACAGCCACACUGGGUGCAGCAAACACACCCCACUGCCGUUGCAGUGCUGCAGAAUAUCAAAGGCCAAUGCAACAAACCCACCCCAUUGCCUUUGCAGUGGUGCAACACCCAAAGGCCCAACCCACACAUGUCCUACAGGUGCACCGGGUGCAGCAAACACACCCCACUGACGUUGCAAUGGUGCAAAACCCAAAGGGUCGAUGCCACAAACCCACCCCAUUGCCUUUGCAAUGGUGCAAAACCCAAAGGGUCAAUGCAACAAACCCACCCCAUUGCCUUUGCAAUGGUGCAGUACCCGAAGAGCUGACCCACAUAUAUCCUACAGACGCACCGGGUGCAACAAACCCACCCCAUUGCCUUUGCAAUGGUGCAGUACCCGAAGAGCUGACCCACAUAUAUCCUACAGACGCACCGGGUGCAGCAAACACACCCCACUGACUGUGCAAUGGUGCAAAACCCAAAGGGUCAAUGCAACAAACCCACCCCACUGUCUUUGCAAUGGUGCAACACCCAAAGGAACGACCCACAGGUGUCCUACAGCCACACUGGGUGCAGCAAACACACCCCACUGACGUUGCAGUGCUGCAGAAUAUCAAAGGCCAAUGCAACAAACCCACCCCAUUGCCUUUGCAAUGGUGCAGUACCCGAAGAGCGGACCCACAUAUAUCCCACAGGCACACCGGGUGCAGCAAACACACUCCAUUGGCUUUGCAACGGUGCAAAACCCAAAGGUCUGACCCACAACGUGUCCUACAGACACACUGCAUGCAGCAAACACACCCCACUGCACUGCAAUGGUGCAAAACCCAAAGGACCAAUGCAGCAGACCGCCCCACUGCACUGCAGUGGUGCAGAACCCAAAGAGCCGAUGCAACAAACCCAAACCAUUCGCUCUGCAGUUUAGGAUGGAGAGAUUGAUGCACCCGGGGCAGACAGUGACCUCCUCGGCCCCACACCUAUGGGGCUGCUGCUGUCCAAGCAUCAGCACUAUGGGGUCGGAUCGCUCCUACGGUGCCGAUGUCCCCAUUCCGGCUGCCAGGACUGCCGCUCUUCGGACACAGCGCCGCAGAGGACGGUUCCCACAGUGCACCCAUUGGGAUCCACACCUAUUUGGGAUGGGUACCCAUUUGGGACCCAUUGGGAUCCACACCUAUUUGGGAUGGGCACCCAUCUGGG